CUACGGGAGGCACCAGUGGGGAAUAUUGCACAAUGGGCGCAAGCCUGAUGCAGCCGUGCCGCGUGUAUGAAGAAGGCCUUCGGGUUGUAAAGUACUUUCAGCGGGGAGGAAGGGAGUAAAGUUAAUACCUUUGCUCAUUGACGUUACCCGCAGAAGAAGCACCGGCUAAGUCCGUGCCAGCAGCCGCGGUAAUACGGAAGGUGCAAGCGUUAAUCGGAAUUACUGGGCGUAAAGCGCACGCAGGCGGUUUGUUAAGUCAGAUGUGAAAUCCCCGGGCUCAACCUGGGAACUGCAUCUGAUACUGGCAAGCUUGAGUCUCGUAGAGGGGGGUAGAAUUCCAGGUGUAGCGGUGAAAUGCGUAGAGAUCUGGAGGAAUACCGGUGGCGAAGGCGGCCCCCUGGACGAAGACUGACGCUCAGGUGCGAAAGCGUGGGGAGCAAACAGGAUUAGAUACCCUAGUAGUC
rnacentral:rRNA from 1 species